UGGUUUACAACUGUCUGUGAAUCCAC
rnacentral:piRNA from 1 species